ACUCCUACGGGAGGCAGCAGUGGGGGAAUAUUGCACAAUGGGCGCAAGCCUGAUGCAGCCAUGCCGCGUGUGUGAAGAAGGCCUCGGUUGUAAAGCACUUUCAUUGUGAGGAAGGUGGUGUCGUUAAUAGCGGCAUCAUUUGACGUUAGCAACAGAAGAAGCACCGGCUAACUCCGUGCCAGCAGCCGCGGUAAUACGGAGGGGUGCGAGCGUUAAUCGGAAUUACUGGGCGUAAAGCGCAUGCAGGUGGUUUGUUAAGUUCAGAUGUGAAAGCCCGGGGCUCAACCUCGGAACUGCAUUUGAAACUGGCAGACUAGAGUACUGUAGAGGGGGUAGAAUUUCAGGUGUAGCGGUGAAAUGCGUAGAGAUCUGAAGGAAUACCGGUGGCGAAGGCGGCCCCCCUGGACAGAUACUGACACUCACGAUGCGAAAGCGUGGGGAGCAAACAGGAUUAGAUACCCUGGUAGCACA
rnacentral:rRNA from 1 species